GGGGAAUAUUGGACAAUGGGCGCAAGCCUGAUCCAGCCAUGCCGCGUGGGUGAAGAAGGCCUUCGGGUUGUAAAGCCCUUUUGUUGGGAAAGAAAAGCAGCCGGCCAAUACCCGGUUGUUCUGACGGUACCCAAAGAAUAAGCACCGGCUAACUUCGUGCCAGCAGCCGCGGUAAUACGAAGGGUGCAAGCGUUACUCGGAAUUACUGGGCGUAAAGCGUGCGUAGGUGGUGGUUUAAGUCCGUUGUGAAAGCCCUGGGCUCAACCUGGGAACUGCAGUGGAUACUGGAUCACUAGAGUGUGGCAGAGGGUAGUGGAAUUCCCGGUGUAGCAGUGAAAUGCGUAGAGAUGUGGAGGAAUACCGAUGGCGAAGGCAGCCCCCUGGGUUAGUACUGACGCUCAUGCACGAAAGCGUGGGGAGCAAACA
rnacentral:rRNA from 1 species